AUUUUUAAUGUUUAUUUUCCAUUUUAGGGGUGUGGGGCGGUUUGGGGGUUCCUAAGGGUGCGGGGGUGACAUUGGUGGUGGUGUUGGGGGUUGAGUCUGUCUCAGGUGGCACUGCUGCCCCUUUGCUGCCCGUUUCGUGGCACUCACAGCUGGGGAAGGAGGGGAAAGGACGGCGAGGAAAAGAGUAGCAAUAAUAAUAAUAAUAAUAGUGAAGAGGAUGGAGCGAGAGGAGGGGAAAAAUAGGACGGGAGAAGGAGAAGAAGGGAAAAAAAGGGGAAAAAGGAGGGAGGAAAAAGCAAAGCAAUGGCGCGGACUGCCCCGAGCCGCCGUCCUUUGCUCGACGCCUCGGCCGGAGAGGAUCCUGAAAGCAACUUGAAUGAAGUUGGGGGUAAACGGGAAAGGAGGGUUCAUGGAGAGGCCAAGCCCCGGGUGCCCGCGGCCCCAUGGAGGCAUCGCGCUGACCCCGAGCCCUUCUGACCCUCUGCCUUCUCCCAACGUGUUCCUCUGUGUCUGCGCUGCGGAGCGGCUUUGUGGGGUUUGGCCCCAGAGAGGGUGAUGGGGGGGUGGAGGGUGAGGUGGAGGCCAAAGUUCUGUCCCUCUUUUCCUCCAGAGAUGCUCUCUGCCUUCAGGCUGUCCCCCGGAGCUCCCAGCCACGUAAGUAAGGAAUAAACAGCAGGAAUAAUAAUCAUUCAUUAAUAAUAAUAAUGAUAAUUAUUAUAAGGAUCGGAACACGU
rnacentral:lncRNA from 1 species